UUGGUUCCGGCAUCGAUGAAGAACGCAGCGAAAUGCGAUAACUAGUGUGAAUUGCAGAAUUCCGUGAAUCAUCGAGUCUUUGAACGCACAUUGCGCCCCCUGGUAUUCCGGGGGGCAUGCCUGUCCGAGCGUCAUUGCUGCCCAUCAAGCACGGCUU
rnacentral:rRNA from 1 species